rnacentral:rRNA from 1 species
UGCAGUCGAGCGACGGAUAAGGAGCUUGCUUCCUUUGAGUUAGCGGCGGACGGGUGAGUAACACGUGGGUAACCUACCUAUAAGACUGGAAUAACUUCGGGAAACCGGAGCUAAUGCCGGAUAACAUUUGGAACCGCAUGGUUCUAAAUUAAAAGAUGGUUUCGCUAUCACUUAUAGAUGGACCCGCGCCGUAUUAGCUAAUUGGUAAAGUAAGGGCUUACCCAGGCAACGAUACGUAACCGACCUGAGAGGGUGAUCGGCCACACUGGAACUGAGACACGGUCCAGACUCCUACGGGAGGCAGCAGUAAGGAAUCUUCCGCAAUGGACGAAAGUCUGACGGAACAACGCCGCGUGAGUGAUGAAGGUUUUCGGAUCGUAAAACUCUGUUAUUAGGGAAGAACAAAUGUGUAAGUAACUGUGCACAUCUUGACGGUACCUAAUCAGAAAGCCACGGCUAACUACGUGCCAGCAGCCGCGGUAAUACGUAUGUGGCAAGCGUUAUCCGGAA